ensembl:lncRNA
AUGCCAUCCUUAAAUACUACAGAGAAGGCUUUAAAUCCAUUUGUAGCUUCAUGGCAUCCUCAUUCUCUGCUUCCUGAUAAGCAAUGGUAUGAGGCUUAUAGUUCCCAAACGGACAGUAAUACAGAACGCCAGUGUCUAUGUCAUGCAUAUAAGGGUUUGCUAUUCAGUAUCUGUCUUAUGUUGCAGUCCUCUGAUCUCCAAAUAGCAACAAGAGUAAAGCUCUUCUAACAAGAGACGCACAGUAAACAUCACUAUCAACACAGCUGAGACGUCUGAAAUGAAAUGGCCCUUAUUUCAUGACCUUGUUUCAGCUAGUGUCACCAGAUGAGACCAUGCUAAAAAUAAUCUCCCUGUUCUUGUUUUUCCAUAUUAUACUCUGUUUCUCCAUACUGUGUGAUUUAGCCUAGUAGAACAUGUUCCUCAAUUAGAGUAUGUUGCUGGUCCAGAGUUUUUGUUCUAACCAGCCAUGACUCAAAAAAAAAAAAAAAAAAACUUUUGUCAACCCUAUAUACGUUUUUGUUAUUUUUUCGUUUCUUUCUAUGGCAUUGUGUAGCUUUAACAACAUUGCAGAUCACUGGAACAAUGUGCCAAUGCUCGCAUAAAACAAAAUCAUUAAACUUCAUCUUCUUGUAUCUAAUUGUGUCUAAACUUGAUCUUUAUGUGCCUUAUUUCAAGAAAACAAGGUUUUGUUUCAGCUGACAGAACUUGCGACCAUAGUUGGCUAAAGAUGUUUUCUGGAAAGCACAACUGAUUGGCCCUAUUUAGUGAAUUGUGAAUUAUAUAGUAUCACACCCAAUUUUAGCAUUGUAUAUGAACAGAAUGUCCUGUGUGUUCUGUAUGUCCAAAAUCCUGCUCGUAUUGUGUCUGACUCCAACAAAACAACAAGCUUUUGUCUACGCUAAAUUGAGUCUUUUUGUUUGUUUGUUUGUUUCUGUAAGGUUGCAUAGCUUUACCAACACUGAAAAUCAUUGGACUGAAGAACCACUUCUGAUAUAACACAAAAUCAUUGAACUGUAUCGGUAAUAAUGGAACUUGCAACCAUACUGUAGUUGCCUAGAGAUGCUUCCAGGAAAGUUUUUCAAUUUCAAUGAAUUUUAAAUUCAAUUUUAGCAUCAUGCCACUUUUUGCAUCAGUUAUAGUUAUUUUACAGUCCUCUUCCACAUGUACUGUACAUACUAUGUACUUAUUAUAGUGAUUACAAUAGCUAGGUAAUAACUAGGUUAUAACCUUGAACCAACCCCUAAACCUAAUGUUAACCUAUGUAGUUACAUUAUAUUACCCAGUA